UUGUUUAUCCGGCGUCUAUUUCGAAUGCUUGUAAGUGUUACAAAACCCACUACGUUCAAUAUUUUACAGCACUGCUUGAACAGCUGACGUCAUUUGGCAAAUAAAAACAACAAUACUGAGUUUGUUUAUGUGCCAGAAUCCGAAUAAAAAAAAAUUCAAGGUAUAUUAUUUUGGAAACGUCGACGGGCCCAGCACACUUCCUGCCCUUAAAGUACAUGCAAGUGUACUGAUCUAGCCCAGAAUGUAAAUCAGUUGACAUUUCUCUGGAAGAUUACAAAAAAUUCAAAUAUUGUUUCAGUUCCUCAUUGUGUGACCUCGCGAAUCCACUGUUAUUCACCAUGAACCGCUCGGAUAGCAUACCCAUAAGGCGUGAUCGCUCCUUUGAUAGCGUGCUGAAUAGAUUGCUACGCAUGCGCUCGCAGAAUCAUGAAAGCUUUCGCGCGGCUAUGUAUAACUUUCUAAUAGCAGCUGGGAUUGCUGCCUUCGUAGCUGUUUGCUUUAUACUCGGCCCAUUUGUGCGUCCCCUGCUGUGGGCCUUUCUCAUGGGAGCGGUGCUGUUUCCCUUCAAACGAAAACUGGCUGAGCUGCUUAACAACUGGUUUCAGCGCUUAGAAGAUAACGACUCGAAUAUUCUUGUGUCCAUUUGCUUGGCACCACUGGAGGCCACUGAGCAUUGUGGACGUUUGCUCAUCAACUGGCUGUGCCAUCACUGGCAACUAUUGUUGGCCGGCUGCGGCGUAGCCGUUUGCAUAAAGCUGUUGGUGCUGUAUGCUCCAAAGGGCUUUCUGUUAGCGCUUUGGCACUGGGUUACAUUCUCCCAUGGACUAUUUGUCAAGAUUAUCGGCUUUCUGAAUGUAUAUAUGCUUUUGGCCUUAAUAGUCAUCUACUUAAGCUCGGUGCACUUCUUUUGGAAGCCUGAAAAAAAUGCACAUUUCAUCAUUGCUGGCCAAUUUAUGUGGAUUGCCAUAGCUGGAUUUCUGUGUAGUUUUCUAGGCGCGCUGCAAGUACCUGUAUUUCUGCUGGUUAUGGCUUAUGUGAUUGUCUCCACUGCGUAUCACUUGCAAACAAACGAAGAGAACGAAACGGAUACGUUUUUGGAACGCUUUCGCAAGUUAUUCGAUAGGCAUGAUUUUGAAAAAUCCUUAAGCAAUUUAAGCAUAAUUAACAAAGCUGGCGGUGAGCAUAUGCUGCAAUCAGAUGUGGAGGAUAUUUCCUUAAGCGACACCGUCAACUCGGAGGAAGAUACAUUCGAUGCGAAACCAGCCACUACGGAUGAUGACGGCCAUCAAAGCGACACUUACUUCAAGCUGCUCUUCUAUGCCUGCCUGGCCACAUUCUUGUAUCGCAACAUUUGGCUCUUUAUAUUGGCAGCAGUGCCAGUAUUUUUGCAUUUACUUUACACCAUCUGCAGCUAUACGGGCAUAACACAGUUCAUCUGUUGCAAAUUGGACGAUGGCUAUCAAACACUAAAGGCCUGGGCAUUGGAGCAUCAUUCGGCUGUGUUGCCGCUGUGUUUACCAGGCGUGUUAGAGCUCAACUACAAAAUCAAUUGCAUUGUGCGCAAUUCGUUAAAAUCAUGCGUAGAGUCUGUCACCUCCAUACUUAUGAUCAUACUCAUGCUGCUCAUUAUCAUAUUUCUGGGUGUUUUCUUUUGUGUAAACAUCUAUUCAGAGACUGUGGAAGUGGCGUACUUGGGCAAAGAUCUAAUUAACAAGACAAUCACAGAUCGUCCAGAGCUAAUUGAUAUUUUGCCCGCCAAUAUACAAGCGUCCAUUGAUGAUGCGCUCGACAAUGCGCAUCAUUAUGGUCGACGCAAAAUUGAAACUUACAUUGAUGAUUGGCUGGCGGAGGCAGACAAAGUGCAUGCCACAAAGCUGAAGGAACAAAUUCUAGAUGUUUGGGAUAGGCUUAUACAGUACUGGAUUGAUUUUAACAAGGCUGGCAGUUCCUAUGGACCACGUGUUCCCACAGAUGCUCUAAAGAGCACAUUUGGUGAGAUUGUUGAUAAUCCUGGACAUUUUAAAGAGCUAGUUUUAGUGGCAAAACAGGGCAUCAUUGGCUGGGCCCAAAGCAAUACACAGACUAUUCUUGAGGUGGCCGAAUCUCUUUGGCAUAUCAUACGUACCAAUCUCUCCAUGAUAAUGGGCGUAACGGGCGAAAUUCUCUCUCUGCUGCUGUCGGGUGGACAAGCUUGUAUAGAGUUUAUACUGGAAAUGAUUGUAUUCUUUACGGCCUUGUUCUACCUGCUAUCCAGCAGUCAGGAGAAAUAUGCACCACUGCAGAUUACCAAGUAUAUGGGCUAUUCUACCUCAGGCACUAAGAUAGCCGAUGCGCUGGAGAAUUCAAUAACUGUAGUGCUGGUGUCGAUGUUUAAAUGCUCCAUAUUCACGGGACUCUUUACCUGGCUGGUGCAUACGGUGUUUGGUGCGCGUAUUGUAUUCUUGCCCUCUGCAUUGGCUGCAAUGCUAGCGGCGGCGCCAUUCUUGGGUAGCUAUUGGUGUGCUGUGCCUGCGUUCCUAGAGCUUUGGCUGGCGCAGGAUCGUUUCUAUGCUGGGCUAAUAUUGUUCCUGCUGCAAUUUAUGGUGCCCUCCUCGUUUGAAACCGCCAUAUAUGCGGAUCUUAAGGGCAGUGGACAUCCAUAUCUGAAUGGUCUAGCUAUAGCAGGCGGCAUGUAUUGGAUUGGUUGGCAGGGCGCCAUAUUCGGUCCACUUAUGCUCUGCUUCUUCAUUGGUAUUUUUGAGGUGGCAACUUUGGCCAUGCGCACCAGUUCAGAUCCCAGGUAUGUUUGGGCCUAAUUUCCUUGCAUGCAAGUUAUAUAUUUUAUUUACAAAACUAACUGCCGCUCCAGGAUCUAAACGUAGCUCUGAUGAGGAAACACGCACUACGUGAGUCAAACGCAUGGCGUUACUGGAACCUCGAAUUUCUCUUUUAAUACUCGAACUACAAAACUAACAAACUACACUGCGUAUAUUUGUUAUAUGUAACAUAGUUUUGUUUAUAUUUGUUACCUCAACGCUUGUUUUUAUUUAUUUAACAAAAAUUGAAUGUAUGCAACAGUUUGCUUCCGUUAAAAGCAUUUCAAUAUGUCGACGAACUACCUUAACUUUCCUUAAGGCAUAAACCCUUGCUAAAACUAUAAGUCCAACAUAUUUGUACAUACAUAUAUUUAUCAAGAAAUAUACAGUUUUAGAUUAUUAAUAGUUUAGCAAGGGUAGUAAUGCUUCGUUCUUUCGUAGUCAGUCCAAACCGUAUACCUCUAUAUGUAGAAAUUCGUAUAUAGUACAUAAGUUUGCUUUGAAAGCUUGUGUCCAUAACCGUAAACCGGUUUUAUUCCAUAUAAUACUAAUCUUGUGUGAUUUGUUUAAGUUCCAAAGCAUUGUUUCGAAUAAAUAUUAGUACUAACGUUCAUUUAAA